GACGAACGCUGGCGGCGUGCCUAAUACAUGCAAGUCGAGCGAAGUUUUUCUGGUGCUUGCACUAGAAAAACUUAGCGGCGAACGGGUGAGUAACACGUAAAGAACCUGCCUCAUAGACUGGGACAACUAUUGGAAACGAUAGCUAAUACCGGAUAACAGUAUUUCUCGCAUGAGAGAUAUUUAAAAGUUGGUUAUGCUAACACUAUGAGAUGGCUUUGCGGUGCAUUAGCUAGUUGGUGGGGUAAAGGCCCACCAAGGCGACGAUGCAUAGCCGACCUGAGAGGGUGAUCGGCCACACUGGGACUGAGACACGGCCCAGACUCCUACGGGAGGCAGCAGUAGGGAAUCUUCCGCAAUGGGCGAAAGCCUGACGGAGCAACGCCGCGUGAGUGAAGAAGGAUUUCGGUUCGUAAAGCUCUGUUGUUAGGGAAGAAUGGAUAUGUAGUAUCUAUACAUGUAAGAGACGGUACCUAACCAGAAAGCCACGGCUAACUACGUG
rnacentral:rRNA from 1 species